AUUGAACGCUGGCGGCAGGCCUAACACAUGCAAGUCGAGCGGCAGCGGAAAGUAGCUUGCUACUUUGCCGGCGAGCGGCGGACGGGUGAGUAAUGUCUGGGAAACUGCCUGAUGGAGGGGGAUAACUACUGGAAACGGUAGCUAAUACCGCAUGACCUCGAAAGAGCAAAGUGGGGGAUCUUCGGACCUCACGCCAUCGGAUGUGCCCAGAUGGGAUUAGCUAGUAGGUGAGGUAAUGGCUCACCUAGGCGACGAUCCCUAGCUGGUCUGAGAGGAUGACCAGCCACACUGGAACUGAGACACGGUCCAGACUCCUACGGGAGGCAGCAGUGGGGAAUAUUGCACAAUGGGCGCAAGCCUGAUGCAGCCAUGCCGCGUGUGUGAAGAAGGCCUUAGGGUUGUAAAGCACUUUCAGCGAGGAGGAAGGCACCAUACUUAAUACGUGUGGUGAUUGACGUUACUCGCAGAAGAAGCACCGGCUAACUCCGUGCCAGCAGCCGCGGUAAUACGGAGGGUGCAAGCGUUAAUCGGAAUUACUGGGCGUAAAGCGCACGCAGGCGGUUUGUUAAGUCAGAUGUGAAAUCCCCGCGCUUAACGUGGGAACUGCAUUUGAAACUGGCAAGCUAGAGUCUUGUAGAGGGGGGUAGAAUUCCAGGUGUAGCGGUGAAAUGCGUAGAGAUCUGGAGGAAUACCGGUGGCGAAAGCGGCCCCCUGGACAAAGACUGACGCUCAGUGCGAAAGCGUGGGGAGCAAACAGG
rnacentral:rRNA from 1 species